rnacentral:rRNA from 1 species
GGGUAACGGGGGGGGCGUGCCUAUACAUGCAAGUCGAGCGAAUGGAUUAAGAGCUUGCUCUUAUGAAGUUAGCGGCGGACGGGUGAGUAACACGUGGGUAACCUGCCCAUAAGACUGGGAUAACUCCGGGAAACCGGGGCUAAUACCGGAUAACAUUUUGAACCGCAUGGUUCGAAAUUGAAAGGCGGCUUCGGCUGUCACUUAUGGAUGGACCCGCGUCGCAUUAGCUAGUUGGUGAGGUAACGGCUCACCAAGGCAACGAUGCGUAGCCGACCUGAG